rnacentral:rRNA from 1 species
CCAAUAGCGUAUAUUAAAGUUGUUGCAGUUAAAAAGCUCGUAGUUGAAUUUCGGGGUCAGCAGGUUGGUCGUGCCAAUGGUAUGCACUGGCCUUGCUGAUUCCUCCCUCUUGAUGAGCCGUAAUGCCAUUAAUUUGGUGUUGCGGGGAAUCAGGACUGUUACUUUGAAAAAAUUAGAGUGUUUAAAGCAGGCAAGCGCUUGAAUACAUUAGCAUGGAAUAAUGAAAUAGGACGUUCGAUCCUAUUUUGUUGGUUUCUAGGAUUGACGUAAUGAUUAAUAGGGAUAGUUGGGGGCAUUAGUAUUCAAUUGUCAGAGGUGAAAUUCUUGGAUUUAUUGGAGACUAACUACUGCGAAAGCAUUUGCCGAGGAUGUUUUCAUUAAUCAAGAACGAAAGUUAGGGGAUCGAAGACGAUCAGAUACCGUCGUAGUCUUAACCAUAAACUAUGCCGACUAGGGAUCGGAUGAUGUUAAUUUUUUAAUGACUCAUUCGGCGCCUUACG